rnacentral:rRNA from 1 species
AAAAAAUCUCGAUCUUGGCUAGGUGUUUAUAGCCGAAAAUUUUUUUUGGCUAUAACCGAAACCAAUAUAAUCACAUUUAGUUAUCGAU